rnacentral:misc_RNA from 1 species
UCGUUGGAGCAAAAAUCUUAGUAUUUCUUUUAAUAAUAUUUGCAUAUUAUUACUUGUACAAGAUCAGUUCUGUUAUAACUCGACCAAUGAACCUGAAUUUUAACGACAUAGCUCUUAUCUUAGGUUCAUCUGCUGUAAACGCUUCUGGAGUUUUAACCUUUUUAUUUCAUAUUGAUCCAAAUCCUUUGACCAUUACAUUUCAUACCUGGUUUAAUAUUUUUUACGUUCUGUACCAAACAGUUUUUAUCUUGUUUUUAAAAUGUAUUGUCAUCCGAGAUAAAAACUCGCCAUUGUUGAUACGGAUUCGCAUGAUUGUAAUGGUCCUUAUUUGUUAUAAUAUUUUGUACUGGGUUAAAGAUUCUUUAUAUUUUCUUUCGUUUGUAAAAGACACUGUACAUAGCAGUUUGGUUAGAGUUCUGUUCUUCCUAAUGUACCCUUUUGUGUCAUUUUAUAGAUUUCAGUCAGCUAUGGGAAUGAUUCCAUUUAUAUUUUAGUUUAGUUGCUGCAAAGCUUUGUUUGCAGUAAGUUGAUACCUGACUUUAGAGUCAUGAAUAGGUGUUGCGGUAAUAUGUCAAUUUAUAAAAUUGCAUUCACAAUUAGUUUUAACUCAAAUGCAAUUGUAAAAGCUGAACAUAAUUUUUUUUACACUAUAUACAUGUUAGAAACUUAAUGUGUAUUUUUUACAGUCAACUACCAAGCCAAUAAAUUAAAAAUAGACUUGUCAUUAAAAUGCUUUAAAAUUCUUGAACCAUAUUUGUCUUACAUUUAAACUGUACGGUUUUUUAUAUUAUGACAAAACCCCACGGCGGAAAUUGGGCAGAAAAUAUUAUGCAAUAAUUUUCUUUAAAUGUAUUUCAAAAGUCAGACUUGUUCUAAAAUUUCCUUAUUUAGGUUCUGAUUUAAAGAUAAGAUCAACGUAUGAUUUUUUUUUUCUGAACUGAAUCAAAUGCAAAUGACAUACACACUGUACAUGUAUAUUUUAUGCAUAAUUUUCACUUUUAAUUUUUCUUGUAUUAAUCCUUCAAUAAUACUAAUUAAUAUAUUUAAAAUACAUGUUCAUUUAUUUUCCCAAUAAACUAGUCCAUGGAUCGCACGUCAUGCAUGAUCAUUUUUUUUUUGUUUAUCGAGAAUUUUAGCCAUUUCUGACAUGCAAAAAAAACCCUGAAUUCAAAAUGUUCCUAUCCUCUUUUUAAAUGAAAUAAAUGAUUCUUAAGAGG